ACGGGCGAGUACACGUACUUAACCUGCCCUCGAGCGAGGCAUAACUGUGGAGACGCAGCUAAUUCCUCAUACGAUCCAUAAAAUGAAAACAUAUGGAUGAAAGGUUACCACUCGAGGAGGGGGGUGCGGUCUAUCAGAUAGUUGGUGAGGUAACGGCUCACCAAGUCUAUGACGGAUAGCCGGUCUGAGAUGAUGUCCGGCCGCAAUGGGACUGAGACACGGCCCAUACUCCUACGGGAGGCAGCAGUGGGGAAUCUUGCGCAAUGGGCGAAAGCCUGACGCAGCGAUCCCGCGUGGAGGAUGACACCUUACGGGGCGUAAACUCCUUUUUUGGUGGAAGACGAAAGACGGUACACCAAGAAUAAAGGACGGCUAACUACGUGCCAGCAGCCGCGGUAAUACGUAGGUCCUAAGCGUUAUCCGGAUUUACUGGACGUAAAGCGUCUGUAGCUGGAAAAAUAAGUCUGUUUUCAAAUACUGUGGCUCAACCAUAGAAAGGGAAUGGAUACUGUCUUUCUAGAGGUUAUUAGAGGUUAGUGGAAUUUCCGGUGGAGCGGUGAAAUGUGUUGAUAUCGGAAGGAACGUCAAAAGCGAAAGCAGCUAACUAUAAUAAACCUGACGGUCAGAGACGAAAGCUUGGGUAGCAAACGGGAUUAGAUACCCCGGUAGUCCAAGCUGUAAAUUAUGCUUGCUAGAUGUUUUCUCCAUUUUGGAGGGAGUGUCGUAAUCUAACGAGUUAAGCAAGCCGCCUGGGUAGUAUAUACGCAAGUAUGAAACUCAAAGGGAUAGGCGGGGGAACACACAAGCAGUGGAUUGUCUAGAUUAAUUGGAUAAUAAGCCAAAAAUCUCACCUAAACUUGACAUGU
rnacentral:rRNA from 1 species